CCAGGUCCGCGCGGGAGCCCUCGUGGGGCGGCUUGGGCUGCCGGAGCUCGCUGGGUGCCAGCUGCAGGGACACGCCGUGGCUGUGGCCGCCGUGGCUGUGGCUGCUGUGGCCGCAGGGCCCGUCCUCCAGAUCCUGUGAGGGUAGCUGCUCAGCGUCCGCCAGGCCCCCAGCACACCCACCCGCCGGGUACCUUCCCAAGAAGCCUGACCUCCGGGUCCCUGGGCAGCAGGAGGUUGAAGAGGUUCUCAAACAGGAAGAAGGCGUAGAGCCCGGCCAACAUAGCCAGGAGGCGCCAGGCGCUGCAUCAAGGCCGACAGCUCUAGCAGGGAGAAGAGUCAGCACGGCGAGUCUGUGUGGGCUCCAGCCCUGCCCCCUAGGGACAUGGAGGCUGGGGACUCGGGGGUGCCCCCUCCACAGCCCAGCCCAGGCCUCACCAGCCAGCGUCAUAGGAGCCUCGCUACUGUGCUGCUGGAACACAAAGUCCACGAAGUACUGAGGGCUCGGCAAGGCAUGGAAGCAAGACCCACUCCUGACGUGGUCCAGCAGGGCAGCCAGGACGCCACCGGCACUACCUGGAGCCCCCGCCCCCACCGCCUCCUCCAGCAGCUGAGGAAUGUCUACGCAGGCCUGGGGAAGAGGGGGCCUCUGCCUCAGCCUUUGGUGUGACCUUGCAUCCAGUUCUGCCAUCCACCCAGCUGCCCCUGGAUGCAUCUCCCACGCCAACUACAGGAUCUGCCCCCACCAGCCCCGCCCUUCCCUGGGGCCACAGCCCUCCCUGCCCGGCCCAGCUGCUUCAGGCUCCCACUCAGCCCUCUGGGUUCCUCCCUCGUGAGGCCCCUCCUGGGGCUCCUGCAGGCCCCCAGCUGCCCGGUAGUGAGCUCCACAUUGUGAAUCCCCAGCAGGAGGCCGACUCCCGGGCGUCUCCCCAGGCCCCCGGGCUCCCUGAAGGCUCUGCAGCCAGGCCUGGCCCCCUAGGCCAUGGGGCCCUCCUCACCCACUCCCCUGGUCUGCCUGGACUGUCCCUCACCGUCUUGGGGGUCUGGCCGGCAGCCUGGGCCUGCAUCCUCUGCAGCAGCCAGCUUAGGCCCGGGGUCAGGGCCUUGGGGCUUUCGAGCAGGGCCAGGAGAUGGUCUGCACGAGAGGCCCAGCGGCCAGCCCGAGCGUCCUCACACGUGCCCUCGGGGUUGCUGAGGUAGAGGACGGCGGCGGCACUGAGGCGGGCAAUGUACCUGGCCUCCAGGACCGGGCCUGGGGGCAGCCCUGGCCCCUCAGGCUCGCCCAGGCCCAGGGCAUCCUCCACAGACAGGCACUGUGGGCAGAGACAGCUCCCUGGCCGGAGGUGAGCAGGCUCAGCAGACCAGCAGGCGGGGGCGCCGUCGCCGUCGCUGUCACCGUCACCGUCACCACCAGCACAGCCAGCAGCAGCCCAAGCUCCAGCGAGACCAGGGACGCCAUACUCAGCUCCCAGCGGGCUCAGCCAGAGAAAGCCCCAGGAAGCUCCAACACAGACAACCAGGAAGACAGACCUGGGCCCUGGCAGCCACCUGGCCGGGCUUGGGGCAGGAUAAGAUUGGGGUAAGACCCCAGCUCUAGCCCCCGGGGCAGGGAGGCUGUGGCUCCCAGCCCUGCCCUCCCUGUGGGCUCCUUCUCUGGCCUUUGAGCCUAGAGGCCUUAUCUCUACUGUGGUGGUGAUGGCAGGAAGUCUGGGGGAAGGGGAAGGCAGAUCUCAGGGCAGCUUUGCCUUCUGAAGGGGGAGUCCAGAUGCAGCCUCCUGCCCGGUCCAGCCAGCCUGACCCUGAGUGUUGUGGGUGGGGCUGGGGUGGGGAGCUGGGUGCCUGAGGCCCAAGGACUCUGUCCUGCCAUGUGCAGGGCGGGACGGGGCAGUGCGGGCAUUGGGCCCAGUGUCCUGGGGUCAGGGUGCUUCCCCUGGCAGCCUCACCCUGCCAAGCGGCAGAUCUCGUGGUGCCCCUCUGGCUGGGCCCACCCACAGUGGUAUCCUUCUGGGGGCGCAGAUGAUUUCUGGGCCCCAAGACCAUGACGGGGGCAGCUCUACACGCAGCUUGGAGAUGUUGCAGUCCCAAACUGGCCCUUUCCCUCCCACACCACCCCAGGACCAAUGGGCUGGCUGGAGGCCACCCAUUCUAAACCAGGCUCAAGGGCCUAUUUUAGCUUCAGGGCAAAGGUCUUGGGCUGGGCCUGACUCUGUGGCCUUCCUGAGCUGCCUCCCCAGUAGGCCUCAGUGCUGGGCUGCAGGCCUCCUCCAUUCCCUCCAUUCAUGUGACCCCAUCCCUCCCCACAGAAACUCUCCUCCACAGCCCAGGAGCAGCCGCUGAGGGUUUCAGCUGCCCGUGCCCCAGCCUGAGGCCGGCUUCCCCAGAGCAGAGGGGUUGCACUCUCCUGCCCCUCAGGCCCACUCUGUCAUGCAACAAGCUCAUUGCAAUUGGCCCAUCUUAAAAACAACACUGGUCGGGCACCUUGGCCCACGCCUGUAAACCCAGCACUUUGGGAGGCUGAGGCAGGUGGAUCACUUGAAGUCAGGAGUUUAAGACCAGCCUG